GUUCCAUUCAACGAGGCGACAGCCGAGUUGAAUGGAACAUUCCAUCUUUCACCGAAUGAAAAUAUUCUUACUAUUGCACGAAGAAACAUUCAUUAUUUGUUUUAUAUAAUACCAAAAGUCCAGAACAGACUAAUAGAUUCGUAUGAGAAGCAUUUUGAGGGAUGCGAUUUAUCGAAAACACAAAGAGUGCAAUUGUACUAUACGUUUUAUUCCAUUGCACUCGCGGAGAGUGCAAUGGAACGUUCCAUUGCACUCUUGGGAAAUGGAAUUUUCUAUUCAAUAUCACGUGACCAUAAACAGCCAAUUAAACGAUUAGAAUUUAAU